rnacentral:rRNA from 1 species
GACGAACGCUGGCGGCGUGCUUAACACAUGCAAGUCGAACGGAAAGGCCCUGCUUUUGUGGGGUGCUCGAGUGGCGAACGGGUGAGUAACACGUGAGUAACCUGCCCUUGACUUUGGGAUAACUUCAGGAAACUGGGGCUAAUACCGGAUAGGAGCUCCUGCUGCAUGGUGGGGGUUGGAAAGUUUCGGCGGUUGGGGAUGGACUCGCGGCUUAUCAGCUUGUUGGUGGGGGAGUGGCUUACCAAGGCUUUGACGGGUAGCCGGCCUGAGAGGGUGACCGGCCACAUGGGUACUACGAUACGGCCCAGACUCAUAUGGGAGGCAGCAGUGGGGAAUCUUGCACAAUGGGCGCAAGCCUGAUGCAGCAACGCCGCGUGCGGGAUGACGGCCUUCGGGUUGUAAACCGCUUUCGCCUGUGACGAAGCGUGAGUGACGGUAAUGGGUAAAGAAGCACCGGCUAACUACGUG